CCCACUAACCACGACACUGCUUUAAUUUUAUAUUUUAAAAAUUGUUGUUUUAAUUUGUAUUUAAAAGUGAAGGCUUGAUAUUUAAUUGUUUUUUUUUAUAGAAAGGCUAGGUCAAGGUAAUAAACUUUGAACUGAAAAGCUGUGAAAAAAAAAGUCGCCGUAGGUUCAGGGGAAUCAAAAAUUUACGUUUUGACAAUGUCUAAAAUUGGAUCUAAAAGUUAAAAAUCCUGGAUCCGCCAAAACAAGUUAUUUCAA